GUGGGGAAUAUUGGGCAAUGGGCGAAAGCCUGACCCAGCAACGCCGCGUGAAGGAAGAAGGUCUUCGGAUCGUAAACUUCUAUCCUUGGUGAAGAUAAUGACGGUAGCCGAGAAGGAAGCCCCGGCUAACUACGUGCCAGCAGCCGCGGUAAUACGUAGGGGGCAAGCGUUGUCCGGAAUGAUUGGGCGUAAAGGGCGCGUAGGCGGCCUGGUAAGUCUGGAGUGAAAGUCCUGCUUUUAAGGUGGGAAUUGCUUUGGAUACUGUCGGGCUUGAGUGCAGGAGAGGUAAGUGGAAUUCCCGGUGUAGCGGUGAAAUGCGUAGAGAUCGGGAGGAACACCAGUGGCGAAGGCGACUUACUGGACUGUAACUGACGUUGAGGCUCGAAAGCGUGGGGAGCAAACAGGAUUAGAUACCCCAGUAGUCC
rnacentral:rRNA from 1 species